rfam:Ictidomys tridecemlineatus contig035528, whole genome shotgun sequence.
GGAGAGGUAGCUCAAUGGUUAGAGUGUUUGCCUCCCAUGCGUGAGGCCCUGGGUUUGAUCCCCAGCACCA